AUGCGUACGGGAAUUAAAAGUCCCACAAUGCACCGUUCUGUUACUUCCAAUCAAACUCCAGCCGAGACACGUCUGCUGGAUUAGUGCUCCCGGAGGUUAUAAUCCUUGUUUCCGGAAAGAUGGAAAGAAUUCUGAUCUCCUCCCCCAGCCUCCAAAUCCUAAGCAAAAAGAAGAAGAGGAAGAAGACAGAAUAAUUUUUACAUUUCUGUUUAAGAGCCCCCCUCCCAUCUGGCAACCAUCAAAAUAUUCUCUGCAUCAGAGUUCUGGCCAAGAUGGAGGCAUAGGUAGAAACUCUUUGCUUCCUCGCACAACCAAGAGGAGGAUAACCACCAAUCUAAAAUCAAUAAAUAAGCAAAACCGCCAGAAAAAUCACACUGCAUGGAACUCCAACAACCAAGGAAUUAAAGAAAAAAUCAACCAGAACAAUCAGACUGGCAAGGCAGAUGAAUCCCCCCCACUCAGAAAAGCCCCAGUGAGGCGGCUGGGGGGCGGGGCUAACUGCCAGCUGUGCAAAGCUGCAAGGAAGGAACUGACUUAAGGGGAAAACCAAGACUCAGAGCUGACUGUGGGCUAAGGCUAGGGUUGCCUGGGUGGGAGAUACUUCCAGUGUAAUGAAGAAUCUGUUGGAAAGUGUGCUAGAGAAAAGCAGGCAAGCUGCAUUGUUCCCUAUAUGGCCCCUCCCCCACAUGCAGUGCAGCAAAGAGGGUUACCCUGCCAGGGUGAAUACCUAAAGCCCCGCCCCCUUACAACCUAUCAGCUGCGCCAAGACAAAGAAAUAUGGCCCAAAUGAAAGACCACAGCAAAACCUCAGAAAGAAAACUAAGCGAUGAGGAGACUGCCAACCUAACUGAUGAAGAAUUUAAAGCCCUGGUAAUUAAAAUGCUUACAGAACUGAUUAAACUUGGUCAAAGAAUGAAAGAACAAAUGAAACAAAGCAAAAUAUUCAGAGAACCAACAGUGACAAGAAGGAAACCAGUAUUCGAAGCAACGAUUUGGAACAUAAGGAAGAAAUAAAUAUCCAACUGGAUCAGAAUGAAGAAACAAGAAUCCAAAAAAAUGAAAAGAGGCUGAGAAUUCCCUGGUACAAUCUGAAACGUUCCAAUAUCCGAAUUAUAGGGGUGCCAGAGGAGCAGAACAGCAGCAAGAAAUUGAAAACUUAUUUGAAAAAAUGAAGGAAAAUUUCCCCAAUCUGGCAAAGGAAAUAGACUUCCAAGAAGUCCAGGAAGCCCAGAGAGUCCCAAAGAAGUUGGGCCCAAAGAGGAACACACCAAGGCACAUCAUUAAAUUACCCAAGAUUAAAGACAAAGAGAAAAUCCUAAAAGCAGCAAGAGAUAAGGAGAGUUGCCUACAAAGGAGUUCCCAUCAGACUGUCAGCUCAUUUCUCAGAAGAGACCUUACAGGCAAGAAGGAGCUAGAAAGAAGUAUUCCAAGUCAUGAAAGGGAAGGACCUACAUCCAAGAUUGCUCUAUCCAGCAAAGCUUUCAUUUAGAAUGGAAGGGCAGAUAAAGUGCUUCCCAGAUAAGGUCAAGUUAAAGGAGUUCAUCAUCACCAAGCCCUUAUUAUAUGAAACAUUAAAAGGACUUAUCUAAGAAAAAUAUAAAAAAUAUGAACAAAAUGACAACAAACUCACAACUAUCAACAAAUGAACCUAAAUAAAACCCAACAAUGAAAACAAAAACUAAGCAAACAACCAGAACAGGAACAGAACCAUAGAAAUGGACAUCACACAGAAGGAGUUCAAUGGGGAGGGAAAAGGGAGGAAUAGCGGGGAAAAGGCACAGGGAAGAAGAAGCCUAUUUAGUAGGCAUAGAAUUGAUAGAGAGAAAUAAAAAAUGGUAUAGGAAACAGAGGACUCAAAGAACUUACAUGUAUAUCCCAUGGACAUGAACUAAAGGGGGGAUGCUGGAAGAU